GAUGAACGCUAGCGGCAGGCUUAAUACAUGCAAGUCGAGGGGCAGCAUAAGUAGCAAUACUUGAUGGCGACCGGCAAACGGGUGCGGAACACGUACAGAACCUUCCUUCGAGCGGGGAAUAGCCCGGAGAAAUCCGGAUUAAUACCCCAUAGUAAAUUGAAAAGGCAUUCUUUUUAAUUUUAAAGAUUUAUCACUUGAAGAUGGCUGUGCGCCUGAUUAGGUAGUUGGCGGGGUAACGGCCCACCAAGCCUUCGAUCAGUAACUGGUGUGAGAGCACGACCAGUCACACGGGCACUGAGACACGGGCCCGACUCCUACGGGAGGCAGCAGUAAGGAAUAUUGGUCAA
rnacentral:rRNA from 1 species